rnacentral:rRNA from 1 species
AGUGAACGCUGGCGGUAGGCCUAACACAUGCAAGUCGAACGGCAGCACAGUAAGAGCUUGCUCUUACGGGUGGCGAGUGGCGGACGGGUGAGGAAUACAUCGGAAUCUACUUUUUCGUGGGGGAUAACGUAGGGAAACUUACGCUAAUACCGCAUACGACCUACGGGUGAAAGCAGGGGAUCUUCGGACCUUGCGCGAUUGAAUGAGCCGAUGUCGGAUUAGCUAGUUGGCGGGGUAAAGGCCCACCAAGGCGACGAUCCGUAGCUGGUCUGAGAGGAUGGUCAGCCACACUGGAACUGAGACACGGUCCAGACUCCUACGGGAGGCAGCAGUGGGGAAUAUUGGACAAUGGGCGCAAGCCUGAUCCAGCCAUACCGCGUGGGUGAAGAAGGCCUUCGGGUCGUAAAGCCCUUUUGUUGGGAAAGAAAAGCAGCAGGUUAAUACCCAGCUGUUCUGACGGUACCCAAAGAAUAAGCACCGGCUAACUUCGUG